rnacentral:rRNA from 1 species
UAAUACGAAGGGGGCUAGCGUUGUUCGGAAUCACUGGGCGUAAAGGGCGCGUAGGCGGCUUGACAAGUCAGGUGUGAAAGCCCCGGGCUCAACCCGGGAAUUGCACUUGAUACUGUCUCGCUAGAGUCCGGGAGAGGAUGGCGGAAUUCCCAGUGUAGAGGUGAAAUUCGUAGAUAUUGGGAAGAACACCGGUGGCGAAGGCGGCCAUCUGGACCGGUACUGACGCUGAGGCGCGAAAGCGUGGGGAGCAAACAGGAUUAGAUACCCUGGUAGUCCACGCCGUAAACGAUGAGUGCUAGACGUCGGGGGGUUCACCUUCCGGUGUCGCAGCUAACGCUUUAAGCACUCCGCCUGGGGAGUACGGUCGCAAGAUUA